rnacentral:rRNA from 1 species
AUUGAACGCUGGCGGCAGGCCUAACACAUGCAAGUCGAACGGUAGCACAGAGAGCUUGCUCUCGGGUGACGAGUGGCGGACGGGUGAGUAAUGUCUGGGAAACUGCCCGAUGGAGGGGGAUAACUACUGGAAACGGUAGCUAAUACCGCAUAAUGUCGCAAGACCAAAGAGGGGGACCUUCGGGCCUCUUGCCAUCGGAUGUGCCCAGAUGGGAUUAGCUUGUAGGUGAGGUAACGGCUCACCUAGGCGACGAUCCCUAGCUGGUCUGAGAGGAUGACCAGCCACACUGGAACUGAGACACGGUCCAGACUCCUACGGGAGGCAGCAGUGGGGAAUAUUGCACAAUGGGCGCAAGCCUGAUGCAGCCAUGCCGCGUGUAUGAAGAAGGCCUUCGGGUUGUAAAGUACUUUCAGCGGGGAGGAAGGGAGUGAGGUUAAUAACCUUAUUCAUUGACGUUACCCGCAGAAGAAGCACCGGCUAACUCCGUGCCAGCAGCCCGCGGUAAUACGGAGGGUGCAAGCGUUAAUCGGAAUUACUGGGCGUAAAGCGCACGCAGGCGGUCUGUCAGUCGGAUGUGAAAUCCCCGGGCUCAACCUGGGAACUGCAUUCGAAACUGGCAGGCUGGAGUCUUGUAGAGGGGGGUAGAAUUCCAGGUGUAGCGGUGAAAUGCGUAGAGAUCUGGAGGAAUACCGGUGGCGAAGGCGGCCCCCUGGACAAAGACUGACGCUCAGGUGCGAAAGCGUGGGGAGCAAACAGGAUUAGAUACCCUGGUAGUCCACGCUGUAAACGAUGUCGACUUGGAGGUUGUUCCCUUGAGGAGUGGUUUCCGGAGCUAACGCGUUAAGUCGACCGCCUGGGGAGUACGGCCGCAAGGUUAAAACUCAAAUGAAUUGACGGGGGCCCGCACAAGCGGUGGAGCAUGUGGUUUAAUUCGAUGCAACGCGAAGAACCUUACCUACUCUUGACAUCCACGGAAUUUGGCAGAGAUGCCUUAGUGCCUUCGGGAACCGUGAGACAGGUGCUGCAUGGCUGUCGUCAGCUCGUGUUGUGAAAUGUUGGGUUAAGUCCCGCAACGAGCGCAACCCUUAUCCUUUGUUGCCAGCGAUUCGGUCGGGAACUCAAAGGAGACUGCCAGUGAUAAACUGGAGGAAGGUGGGGAUGACGUCAAGUCAUCAUGGCCCUUACGAGUAGGGCUACACACGUGCUACAAUGGCAUAUACAAAGAGAAGCGACCUCGCGAGAGCAAGCGGACCUCAUAAAGUAUGUCGUAGUCCGGAUUGGAGUCUGCAACUCGACUCCAUGAAGUCGGAAUCGCUAGUAAUCGUGGAUCAGAAUGCCACGGUGAAUACGUUCCCGGGCCU